CAGUAGCCGCGGGAAUACGAAGGGGGCUAGCGUUGUUCGGAAUUACUGGGCGUAAAGCGCACGUAGGCGGAUAUUUAAGUCAGGGGUGAAAUCCCGCAGCUCAACUGCGGAACUGCCUUUGAUACUGGGUAUCUUGAGUAUGGAAGAGGUUAGUGGAAUUGCGAGUGUAGAGGUGAAAUUCGUAGAUAUUCGCAGGAACACCAGUGGCGAAGGCGGCUAACUGGUCCAUAACUGACGCUGAGGUGCGAAAGCGUGGGGAGCAAACAGGAUUAGAUACCCCAUAGUCCCUGUCUCUUAUACA
rnacentral:rRNA from 1 species